rnacentral:lncRNA from 1 species
GUUAGGGUAAAAGGAGAGCAAAGGACUCACUCUGCUCUAAUGCAAGCCUUUGCCUGCACAUGGUGUUUAUGUUCGACCUGCAAACCCUGUAUCAUUCAGAUCUCCCAUACUUGAUAAGACUUUUUCCCUGUAAGAUACAAUCACCUAUGUAAUGGACUCAGGACUAUGCAGAUCAUUGCAUCCAUGAACUUCCUACAGUCUCAAGGAACUUAUGUAUUUAAUUUUUUAUGCCUGCUGUGAACAUUUCUAUUUUUAGGGUUAAAAAAAAAAAAAAGAAAGAAGACACAUAACAGAGUUGGAAUGAGCACAACAGAUUUACUUGUUCAAACACACAAUGGUGGAAUUUCUCAUUCACCUGAGGCACAUAGCUGGUUUUUGUCUGGUUUGACUUCUUUUGCUCCUUAAGGCUUGCACCAAUACUUCUGCAACUGCUCCUCUUGGUUUUAUAGAAAUGGGCAUAGAAUAAAGCCCAAAAGUUAAUCCUCACAGCUGCUGGCUGCAAUUUUAGUUGUAUGUCAAUAAAAGAAACAAGAUCCUAGGACAUGCAAGGCUGCUGCCCUGAGGCAAAAUAUAAAGGUAUUCUCCCUGAGAUGACUACUGAUAUCUAAAAACCCAGAUAGGCAGGCACUCUGGUGGCAUCUAGUGCAGAAGUGAAACACUCAGAUGGAGAAACCAAUGAGCAGGCUUAAACAUGCCCAAUCUACAGUCACCCCAUACAGUAUUUGGAGUGCUGCUGGUAACAACAGACUCGCCAGGAAGUUGAAAUCAUUGCAAAUGUUGUAUUUUAUGUUGUGAAAAAACCUGUUCAAAACACCUCUGUUGAGUGACAGGAUUGCAGCCUAGAAGCUGCAGAUGAGGCAAGAGGGACAGCAGGGCUCCCUCUCCUCUUACACAGUGCCAGCCUGCUGUAGCAGCCUUGUUCAGGGGUUACCCCUGCCCACGUAUCUUGUGAGGAACCGCUGGGGAGGCUCCUGGGAAGGGCCACAGCAGAGGCACAGUGGGAUGGAGACAAAAUGCAGCUCUGGGGAGCCAGCUGUAAUGCCACUGGAACUUUCUGGGAUUAAUCAUCUGGAAGGGAGUGAUUUUGUUUCCUUGUAUUUGAGGCCAUAUUUGCAUGGAGAUGUAAAUACUGUUUCAGUCUUCAGUACAAAUAAGCUGCCUGGACAAAAAGCUGCACCUUCUGCCCACAGAAUUUAUCUUCAUUUUCAAAAGUGGAACCCAUGGCCACAGCAGCUGCCUGCUGGUUUGGGAUGGUUCAGGAGAUGUCACGGCAGAGCACCACUGGCCUGGAACCAUGUGCUCUAAAGCCCCGGCAGUGCACUGGGAAGAUCCAGGCUGGCAGUGGUUUUCACCAAGACCUCUGUGCUUUCUGAUUGUGUCAGGCCAAUUUUCUGUGGGCCAUACUUUGUGCUAACCACCAAAGAGCCUGUUCUGAUGGCUUUUCUCCUGCCAGGGAAGCUCUGGGCCUCCCUAGUGAUGGUACAUCAUUUAGGUACCAGACACAUGUUCACUCCAAAUACUGCUUGGUUUGUCAAGAAAAGCUGACAUCCACUUCAUUUUACCUAAGAUAACCCACUGUGUUUUCCACAUUUCUGCAAGUUGCUGUUCAUAACUAACUGAACCAAUUUUGCAGUGCAAGUGAGGUGAACAGCUGGGGGAAAAAAACUAGGACAACACUGAAAAAAACCUCAUAACCACUGGUUAAGAAAAUAAAUGCAUUUUGAAGUGUUCA